UUUCCGUAGGUGAACCUGCGGAAGGAUCAUUAAUGUAACCGGACCGUUCCUUUGCCGUAAAACGCACUGGAUUGGAAAGGGAGGUAUCAUACACCCUAUGUUUAUUUACUUUUGUUGCUUUGGUGGGCCGUCCUUUACGGCGUCGGCCUCGGCUGAUCGCGCCCGCCAGAGGACCCAAACUCUUUUAUUAGUGAUGUCUGAGUACUAUAUAAUAGUUAAAACUUUCAACAGCGGAUCUCUUGGUUCUG
rnacentral:misc_RNA from 1 species